rnacentral:rRNA from 1 species
CUACGGGAGGCUCCAGUGAGGAAUAUUGCACAAUGGGGGGAACCCUGAUGCAGCAACGCCGCGUGGAGGAUGACGCAUUUCGGUGUGUAAACUCCUUUUAUAUGUCAAGAAAAUGACGGUAGCAUAUGAAUAAGCACCGGCUAACUCCGUGCCAGCAGCCGCGGUAAUACGGAGGGUGCAAGCGUUACUCGGAAUCACUGGGCGGAAAGGACGCGUAGGCGGGUUGGUAAGUCAGGUGUGAAAUCCUACAGCUUAACCGUAGAACUGCACUUGAAACUUCUAAUCUAGAGUAUGGGAGGGGGAGAUGGAAUUAGUGGUGUAGGGGUAAAAUCCGUAGAUAUCACUAGGAAUACCUAAAGCGAAGGCGAUCUCCUGGAACAUUACUGACGCUAAGGCGUGAAAGCGUGGGGAGCAAACAGGAUUAGAUACCCGUGUAGUC